rnacentral:rRNA from 1 species
UGUUUUGGGCGAAGCCAGACCAGCACGCCGCGUACGCGAUGAAGGCCUUCGGGUUGUAAAGCGUAAAAAGGGAAUGAGGAAGGACAGUACUCUUAGAAUAAGCCUCGGCUAACUACGUGCCAGCAGCCGCGGUAAAACGUAGGAGGCGAGCGUUAUCCGGAUUUACUGGGCGUAAAGCGUGUGUAGGCGGUUUGAUAAGUUGGAUGUGAAAGCUCCCGGCUCAACUGGGAGAGGUCGUUCAAAACUAUCAGACUUGAGAGUGGUAGAGGGAGGUGGAAUUCCGCGUGUAGUGGUGAAAUGCGUAGAUAUGCGGAGGAACACCAGUGGCGAAAGCGGCCUCCUGGCCCAUUUCUGACGCUCAGACACGAAAGCUAAGGUAGCAAACGGGAUUAGAGACCCCGGUAGUCUUAGCUGUAAACGAUGUGAACUUAGUGUCGGUGGGGUUAAAUCCAUCGGUACUGAAGCUAACGCGAUAAGUUCACCGCCUGAAGAUUACGGCCGCAAGGUUAAAACUCAAAGGAAUUGACGGGGCCCCGCACAAGCAGCGGAGCGUGUGGUUUAAUUCGAUGUUACACGAAGACCUUACCAGGGUUUGACAUGUAAGUGGUAGGAGAGAAGGUGACGGACUUUCGGGAGUUACACUGUUGCUGCUGCUUCGUCAUUCGUGUCGUAGAUUUCGUUAAUCCGUACACGCACCUCCUGGUGUAUAGUUCACACGGACUGCGGUCUUAAGCGGAGGAAGGGGGGGAUGAUGUCAAGUCAGCAUGGCCUUUAAUAUCCUGGCUAACACACCCCGCUACAAUGCCAACACAAAAUAGGUUGCUAAGCCGGCGAGGUUGGAGCCAAUCCCUCAAAGUUGGUCCUCAGUUCAAGAUUGCCAGCUUGCAACCUCGCCUUGCAUGAAGAUGAGUUGCUAGUAACCGCAGUCAGCUUUACCUGCCGGUGAUACGUUCCCUGGACUUUGUACACACCGCCCGUCACGUCAUGGAGUGCACGCUGAGCGAUCUACCCAAGAGCACGCAGCCGUUAGACUGACGAGUUAACGUAGUACGAAGUCGCCUGUUAUACCCUCUUAGC